AGAGUUUGAUCCUGGCUCAGAACGAACGCUGGCGGCGCGUUUUAAGCAUGCAAGUCGGACGGUAGAGGGGAGCGAUCCUCUUGAGAGUGGCGAACGGGUGAGUAACACGUAGGUGAUCUGUCCUGGGUUUGGGGAUAGCCUGUGGAAACACGGGGUAAUACCGAAUACGCUCUGGGGGCUGUGGUCCUUGGAGGAAAGGCGCGGGUGCGUCGACCUGGGGGGAGCCUGCGGUCCAUUAGUUAGUUGGUGGGGUAAAGGCCUACCAAGGCGAUGAUGGAUAGCCGGCCUGAGAGGGUGUACGGCCACACUGGGACUGAGAUACGGCCCAGACUCCUACGGGAGGCAGCAGCUAAGAAUCUUCCGCAAUGGGCGCAAGCCUGACGGAGCGACGCCGCGUGGACGAUGAAGGCCGCAAGGUUGUAAAGUUCUUUUCUCUGUGAAGAAUAAGCGGGGGAGGAAAUGCCCCUGUGAUGACGUUAGCAGAGGAAUAAGCCCCGGCUAAUUACGUGCCAGCAGCCGCGGUAAUACGUAAGGGGCGAGCGUUGUUCGGAAUUAUUGGGUGUAAAGGGCGCGUAGGCGGCUUGGCAAGUCUGGUGUGUAAGGCUACAGCUUAACUGUAGUUAGGCGCUGGAAACUGCGAGGCUAGAGUGCAGGAGAGGGAGCUGGAAUUCCAGGUGUAGGGGUGAAAUCUGUAGAGAUCUGGAAGAACACCGGUGGCGAAGGCGAGCUCCUGGUCUGUAACUGACGCUGAGGCGCGAAAGCGUGGGGAGCGAACAGGAUUAGAUACCCUGGUAGUCCACGCUGUAA
rnacentral:rRNA from 1 species